UCAACACCACUCUAACCUAUGAUGGAUCCUAGUCAUCCACUCAAGAUAACUCUUUGGCCUUGAGCAAGACAACUCUCCCGCGGUUUCUCUUUGAGCGCAUCAGCGAGUUGAUUGUACUCUUUGGUGAUGUGCCUCUUUUGCUUGUGAUAGUUGCAGUAUUUAUUCUCGUCAUAAGAUUGAGGACCUGAUCCGUCUAUCUACUAGUCCCAAACGUUCCAAGUUUUGUCGUUGUGAUUGCAGCUGAAGCAAUGGGUUUGGUCUUGACAACAUAUUAAACAAUCAACUUCUUGUUAUCUUGCUUGUCAUAGGAUGAAUAUUGUCGAGGUUCUUCGUAAGAAUUUUCCGCCUUUGCGGCUACAAGGCUCUGCAUCGCGUUGUGCUUAAUCAUAUAGACAUGGUUAUCAUCCUUCAUAGUGAUGAAGUAGUUAGUAUGAUGGAGAGCAUCCUCCAACGUGAUGUUGUUAGUGUACAGAUCUUCUCUGAAGGGCGAAUUUAUCUGUUGCGUUGCACAUAGCCUCCACUGCUGUAGCGUCUGGAUCAUGCACUUUGGAGACCAGUCCUUUGAAUCUUUACCUGAAGCUCAUGGGCCUUUUUUUGCGCCAUGUGUCAUCUUCCAUAGGUCAGUAGCUGAGGCUCAUGUCGAAAAACAUGGAGUAAUGUUUAAGAAAGUCUAUAGACGUUAUGAAAACUGUCAAUGGAGUCCUUCUUGAGCCUUGAGAACCAUGUCAAAGCCGUUCAGACUCUCAACGAACAAUUGACAGUAUCUCAUGUACAUAUCUUUUUUCAGCUGUAAAGUGUGCUCGUCUCAUGGCUAUGUUGAAUACAAUCAUAUGACUGUUACGAUCAAAUUCACCUGAGAAAGACAUGACUUUAAGCUUAUAUGAAUGUCGAACUUGUAUGUCGGUAAUCUUUUCUGUAAAUGAUCAACCGUAUAAAUGAUGAAAUUAUGUUUCCAUUAAUUAAAUAGACAUAACGCGAUUGUAUUACAAUAGUCAAAUGAAACAGUGUGAAAAUAAUUGUUUGUCUUGAAAUAAAGAAAAGUCUAGGAUAUAAAAUAAUCAUUAGCAAAUAACUUGAAAAAAUAAUUUUACCACGAGAAUUGCGGACAAACCCCUAUCUAUCUAUUUAUAUAAAAGAGGGUUUUAUCCCUCUUCUUUGCGCUUUAUAGGAUUUAUAGGAUGCCAGCUAGAUAAGUCGCUGCCUCUCAUGGCGACAUGUGUCCACUUAAAGUAAACGAUGCGUUUCAUUUAAAUUAUUAUGCAUACAUGUGGGCUUCAUAUUAUUUUGGGCCCUAACUUUUCACACUUUACCAGCCCGUACGAAAACACACCGUUUUGAUAUUAAGGUUGAGCCCCUCUUCAUCUCCGAUAUUUGAGAUCGACGCACAAACUGAGUCCUGAAAGCGUUGAUUCGUCUUCACCAAAGUGGACAACGUAAUCUAGGGUUCUUCUUAUUCUUCGAUCCCUGAGCAUCUUCACCAACAAUGGAGUUUCUAGAGGAUGCGUGAGUUGAAUAGUCUUGAAGAAUAUCUGUAAGAAGCUUCGAUUGCGUCUUUACGCCUUCCUUUCUAAUCCUUCGAAACGUUAAUGGUUAUUAAUUCAUCGCUUUAACAAACAUCUUAAUACCAUCAACCCACGUCGAGCACGAUCUGAGAUUGAUUCAUCUUAUCCCUCUGCAAGUCGGUCUCUCUGCACCUAUAAAAGGUAAGCCAUCUUUCCUUGAACAUCAUCCUCUCAAUCCGUGAUAACACCAAAGUUAAUUUAUUCUGUGAAUGGCUAACUCAUCAAUCCUCUUCUUUAAUGGCUUCUCGAGCUGCGACACAAGAAGCUGCGAUGAACGGAGUCCUCAUUGGUUCGAAUCAGCCUUAAGGACGACGGAGUCGCGGAGAUCUCUGAUCCCGUACCUCUCAUUCCUCCUCUCGAUAUCUCUCGCUCAUCAUGAUAGAGGAGGAUUACGUGGCUAUGUGAGGAGAUGGAGUUGAGAUGAGGAUGCUAGCUCUUACAGCUUUUUCAAUCGAUACAGGUUUUUGUGUUUUGAGUGAACUUUUGACGCUUAGGAAGUGAGGAUAUGCAAGAGUUCAGUGUGUAGCAUGCAAGACAACAGAUGAGUUAUUGCAAUAAGCUGGCUAAACUUGAUGGAGUUCCAUACCGUGAUUUCACUGGAUAGGUCUAGGUUUUUUUUUUUGGAAAAUAAAAAAAAUUAGUUUGCAUCUUAUUGAGGGGUUAACAUGAUAAACUCAAGCAUCUUGCUUAGUUGUUGUUUGUCUUGCCCUGUGUGCUGUUCUCAGGAGAGGAUUUGACUAUUCUCUACGGGUUUGAAUGUAAGGAUAAUGUUUGAGACCAA